rnacentral:rRNA from 1 species
UCCGUAGGUGAACCUGCGGAAGGAUCAUUACAGAAAUAGGAGAAGGUUGCUUAACUGCAAUCCUUUUCUUUCUACACAUGUGUUUUUCUUUUUUUUGAAAACUUUGCUUUGGUGGGCCCACGGCCUGCCAGAGAUUAAACUCAACCAAAUUUUUAUUUAAUUGUCAACUUGAUUAACUAAUAGUCAAAACUUUCAACAACGGAUCUCUUGGUUCUCGCAUCGAUGAAGAACGCAGCGAAAUGCGAUAAGUAAUAUGAAUUGCAGAUAUUCGUGAAUCAUCGAAUCUUUGAACGCACAUUGCGCCCUUUGGUAUUCCAAAGGGCAUGCCUGUUUGAGCGUCAUUUCUCCCUCAAACCCUCGGGUUUGGUGUUGAGCGAUACGCUGGGUUUGCUUGAAAGAAAGGCGGAGUAUAAACUAAUGGAUAGGUUUUUUUUUCCACUCAUUGGUACAAACUCCAAACAUUCUUCCAAAUUCGACCUCAAAUCAGGUAGGACUACCCGCUGAACUUAAGGAUAUCAAUAAGCGGAGGAAAAG